rnacentral:rRNA from 1 species
GGCUCAGGAUGAACGCUGGCGGCAUGACUAAGGCAUGCAAGUCGAGUGGGUUUAGACCCACGGCAAACGGGUGCGUAACACAUUGGUAACCUACCCUCAAGACGCGAAUAACUCUUCGAAAGAGGAGCUAAUACGCGAUAAUAAGGCGGAGCGAAAGUUCCGUCUUUAAAGAUUUAUCGCUUGAGGAGGGGCCUAUGGCCUAUCAGCUAGUUGGUAGUGUAAGAGACUACCAAGGCUACGACGGGUAGCGGGUGUGAGAGCACGACCCGCCUCACUGGGACUGAGACACGGCCCAGACACCUACGGGUGGCUGCAGUCUUGAAUCUUCCUCAAUGCGCGAAAGCGUGAAGGAGCAAUGCCGCGUGAUCGAUGAAGCACUUCGGUGCGUAAAGAUCUUUUAUCAGGGAAGAACAAAUGACGGUACCUGACGAAUAAGAGGUUGCUAACUCUGUGCCAGCAGCAGCGGUAAUACAGAGACCUCAAGCGUUAUCCGGAUUUAUUGGGCGUAAAGAGUGCGUAGGCGGUUUGUUAAGUCAGCGGUCAAAUCUAGGGGCUCAACCCCUGGACCGCCGCUGAUACUGACAGACUAGAGUUUGGAAGAGGUAAGCGGAAUUGCUGGUGUAGGGGUAAAAUCCGUUAAUAUCAGCAGGAACACCAAAUGCGUAAGCAGCUUACUGGGACAACACUGACGCUGUUGCACGAAAGCGUGGGGAUCAAAGAGGAUUAGAUACCCUCGUAGUCCACGCCGUAAACGAUGAUUACUAGGCAUUGGAAGUAUCGACCCUUUCAGUGUCGUUUAAAAAAGCUAACGCGUUAAGUAAUCCGCCUGGGAAGUACGGCCGCAAGGGCUAAAC